CCUAGUGGUACACAAGACUCUGCUGUGGUAGGCAUUGCAUAAACAUAAUGGAAACUUGUUGUAUACCCAAAUAAUUUGCUAUGACAGAGCCAAAACCCCUACUCCCCUCCAUCCUGCUCUAGGACCACCAGUGCAGAGUAUGUGCUCUGGACCCUGUCUGGGAGCAGCCGUGCAGCUCAUCCCGUCCGCACCAGGCCUGCCCCGGCUCUGCAGUGUCUGCGAGUUUAGACUACUGCCUCUUCACCAGCAGCCUGGAGACUGAGUCUUCAGUUUUCAGUCCAGCAUGCGGGGUUGGAUUGGGUGUGGUGUAAUUCUACCUCUUCUCCGCUGUACUCUGCCAGGUCCUUGACAACAAAGGUGGCAGGUCCUGGAGCGAACGCGACUGCUAGCAGUUCAAAUGUCAGAACUCCCAAAGUACUGUCAGCUGCGUGGUUGCGAGCUGAAGACUGUGCAAAUCCUUCACCUUCAUGCUGAGCAGGAUCUGUAUCUCUGUCAUCUUUCUGCAGUAUGGCCGAUACUGAGCGCUCCAGAAUAACUGCUCUUUGGAAAGCAUGAGUGAUCUGAGUAAUGCAGAACUUGCUUUUUCCUGGGAUAAUCCAUAGAGAUGGAUAUUGGGCAAUGAAAAUGCAGAAGGAAGCCAGGAUCAUGGGAUCUCAUUGGACAAGCAGGAGGAAAGGGAUCCACCCGGCCUUGCCAGCCCUCCGUGUUCAGGGCAGAAUGAAAGGGCGUCCAGAGCUUGCUAGUAUUUGAGUGGUGCACUGGGACAGCGCAGUGUCCUGGCCCUUGUUGUUUCCUCUGAAGGAAGAUGAGCCCAGAAGAGGAGGAACUUCACCACUCUAGGGGGCUUGCACAUGGAACGUUUUUGAGUUUCCCAGUUUUAGCUGAAAGGCAACGACACUGGUGAGUCUGUUCAGCCACUUGGUCCUUUCCCCACUUGGAACACCAGGGACACACAGAGCUCUAACAGUUAACGCCAGAGUUGAGAACAUUUCUGUGGUUUUUGAAGGCGUCGAGUGCCAAGUGACCAAGAGCUGAUCUGGCAGGAAAAGUCUCUUGGUUUUCCUUACCUCCUUGAAACAUAGCCAGGGUGCCUAGUUUUCAUUUUUCCUACCCCCUUUUUCGAAGUCAGAAUACCUUGGACUCAAAAUCGUUAUAACUUUUAGAACCCCCAGUAACUGUUUUUUAACAAAGCCUCUUGACCUAACAGAUUGGCCUAUCUCUGCCAGGCAGGUCAUUAAUUUCCAGUCUAAUGCACAAGGGAGAACAUUGUGAAAUGACUGCAU
rnacentral:lncRNA from 1 species